AUUGGAGGCACUGCCUGCCCGGUGACAUUAGUUAAACGGCCGCGGUAUUCUGACCGUGCAAAGGUAGCAUAAUCAUUUGUUCUCUAAAUAAGGACUUGUAUGAAGGCCACACGAGGGUUUAACUGUCUCUUACUUCCAAUCAGUGAAAUUGACCUUCCCGUGAAGAGGCGGGAAUAAAGCAAUAAGACGAGAAGACCCUAUGGAGCUUUAAUUAACUAGCUCAAAAGAAUCUAUCUACCAGACCGACAGGAACAACAUACUCCUUCCAUGAGCUAACAAUUUAGGUUGGGGCGACCUCGGAGCACAAAACAACCUCCGAGUGAUAUUAAUCUAGACGUACCAGUCAAAAUGCUCACUUACUUAUUGAUCCAAAAACCUCUUUGAUCAACGGAACAAGUUACCCUAGGGAUAACAGCGCAAUCCUAUUUAAGAGUCCAUAUCGACAAUAGGGUUUACGACCUCGAUGUUGGAUCAGGACAUCCUAAUGGUGCAGCAGCU
rnacentral:rRNA from 1 species